rnacentral:rRNA from 1 species
GAUGAACGCUGGCGGCGUGCCUAAUACAUGCAAGUCGAGCGAACAGACGAGGAGCUUGCUCCUCUGACGUUAGCGGCGGACGGGUGAGUAACACGUGGAUAACCUACCUAUAAGACUGGGAUAACUUCGGGAAACCGGAGCUAAUACCGGAUAAUAUAUUGAACCGCAUGGUUCAAUAGUGAAAGACGGUUUUGCUGUCACUCAUAGAUGGAUCCGCGCCGCAUUAGCUAGUUGGUAAGGUAACGGCUUACCAAGGCAACGAUGCGUAGCCGACCUGAGAGGGAGAUCGGCCACACUGGAACUGAGACACGGUCCAGACGCCUACGGGAGGCAGCAGUAGGGAAUCUUCCGCAAUGGGCGAAAGCCUGACGGAGCAACGCCGCGUGAGUGAAGAAGGUCUUCGGAUCGUAAAACUCUGUUAUUAGGGAAGAACAAAUGUGUAAGUACCUAUGCACGUCUUGACGGUACCUAAUCAGAAAGCCACGGCUAACUACGUG